CCCACCGUUCCCUUCGAUCUUUACCAUUUUCUCUGUUUGCAAUCAACCCAUCCCUCUGUUAAAGUAGAAGCCUAACAUUGCAAUUAUGUUAUUGAAAGAAGCCUAUCUUUCCAAUUAUAUAUGGAGUCCUUCCAUCCCUCUGUUAACUUUCGAACCAUUAUAAGUAGAACCAUAGCUUUGCAUUCUCUUUGCCAUUACACUAUCAUCAAAUAGUAUUUCAGAGCAACUCUCCUUUGUUGAAGCCAUCGACUGCCUCUGACCGAGUGGAGUCGCAAAUUACUGUUUGAGAUCAAAUCGGCAGCCAAUUCUGUGUUAAGUUGAAUGUUUGGGUUUAAUUUAUGCGUUGUUGCAUGCAUACUUGGGUUUGUGGCUGUUUAAAUAUAAAUUAAAGUGCGAUACCUACUUCCUUUUCAUCGUCUUCUUCUUCCCCCUUUCUCUGCAUUCGGUAUUUUGCUUCUCUACUUCUUCUUUAAGAGGCUGCUUGUUUGGGAACUUAAUGUCGAAGCCUAACAAAUGGGCAUUUGCAGAGUUUUCCAUCCCACUGUUUGUUGAAGUCGUCAAUUGCCUCUACCUCUCAGCCUCAAGGUCAAGGUUUGGCUGAGAGCUGCUAUAGUACUAUGGAUGCAGAGUGUCAAAAGAGAACUCUUGAAGCUUUGUGUCAGGACUAUCAACAUAAAGUUGGACCCAUAUUUGCUGGGCAUGAUUGUUGCAGUCAAAUUCAUCAACUUCCAUUCGGGUGUUUCAGUAUUAAAAUGGUUGAUGAAUCAGUGGAUCGCUGCAAAAAGAAUCGAGACACGGUUUGGAUGAGGAUGAGUCAUAUUUACGGAUAUUGUACUAGAGAUAUCUAUGAUUAGUCAAUAUUAAUUUAUUUUAAGUUGAAUAAUGGAAAUAUUAAUUACAUUUUAGCAUCACAAUUUAUGUAAUGUAAUGUUGUUCUAAUAACUAAUUAUAGACGUAAUAUUAUACAUUCUAUCCUAAAAA